GUUUCUCACUCAUGUGCCGCGCGUCCGUGAGGGGACGCCGCUGAAGGACAGGCGGCGCCGUGUGGUUUCCGCCGCUCAUCAACGCAACUCUCACAGGAAAAUGUUUUUUAUUAAGUGUGAUGACUUAUGACAGCGUUUCGACCAUUCAGAAUAAGACGUUUCUUGGAAUGGUCCUUUUUACAGUUUAUUUUCUCUUGAAAUCGGCGUACCAAUAGUUUGCCUUUCGUGACUAUUUCACAAGCGGCGGUGAGACGAUGACUUUCACGUGGCUCGAGGAAUCUUAACGAAUGUCUCCCCCAGAUGUGGAGCAGGUCUCCGGCUUGAGGUGAGGUUGUACUGAGGCCCUCCGGCCCGCUGGCACGGUUUGACGGUACAGAACGAGCUCAAGUCAGUCUCCUACCAGUGAUGAGGGACCCUGUGUGCCAGCUCAUAAAUGAGGCCCCGGCGCUUUGCAUCCAGAGGCGAUGGGUAAACACAACGUGAGCUCAGUCUCCCUCGUAAACCCGCUGCUCCGACAACGCCGAAGCUGCAGCCGUGUCGGGGUUCACCUGAUCCCACGCAUCUUUCCUCAAAAUCAUUAAACCAAAAAAAAUGAAAAAGCAGCACGGACGGGCGGGUGGCGUGCCGUCUUUCUCCUGGUUCUGGGUCUUGAAGGUCCUCAAUGGGCUCCGGGCCAGUUGACACAGGUGAUCCUGCACGCAAGGGUGCUUCUGGAAAACCAGACUCUGGAGACUUUGGGCUUUGCAGGACACUUCACACGGGAGCUGUGGAGGAAUUGGUGGAGGGCUACUUGCACAUGCGAUGCCAGAGGAAGAGGAUGAACCAGGGGGCAACGCCGGGGUCUCGAACCGUUGACUGAUACACAACAUGUUCCGGGAUGGAUGGAGGCUCGGUAGUCAACCCGACAUUCACGUUGUGUUUCUGCCCCACAGGCAGACGGAGCACAGGAACGAGUGCAGCGGGAUGAGGAAGCUUUACUUCUCCGUCUUCUGCCUGUUGAUCAAAGGACGUGGGAGAAAAAACACACACACACACACACUGUGAAGAAAAAGAUACAGCAAAAAAAAAAAAGCUCGGAACUUUUUCUUGAAACUUUUUCUCCUCUUUUCCCUCCUGCACUAUGUUCUUAGUCAAAUGUCUUUAUUUUGUAUCCGCAUUGACCUUCCUGCUAAUGUAAUGUUACAUUACAGCGUGUUACAUUUUGUCCAUUUGGUAAUUUUUAAUAAUAAUUAAAUAAUAAUUUAAAUACUCCUUUAAAGGUUUGAAAGGCAAUAUUUUACCCUGUUGUCCUUUCAUGGAAAGGAAUCCAUUCCCUUUGUUAUUAUUCUAACGUAAAAAUAUAGUAUAUAUUUUUAUUUGGGUUUACACUUCAUUCAAUUUUCUGUCCUUGUAUCUAUUUUGUGUAGAAAAGGCCAGUUUUUAUUUAUAGCACCACCAGCUUCAUCCCUGAGAUCUAUAUAGUUAAAUUGCUAAGUUGCUUGUUUUUAUAAAAGGUUAAUUUUUUUAAAU
ensembl:lncRNA